rnacentral:rRNA from 1 species
AUAUUGCACAAUGGGCGCAAGCCUGAUGCAGCCAUGCCGCGUGUGUGAAGAAGGCCUUCGGGUUGUAAAGCACUUUCAGCGGGGAGGAAGGCGGUGAGGUUAAUAACCUCAUCGAUUGACGUUACCCGCAGAAGAAGCACCGGCUAACUCCGUGCCAGCAGCCGCGGUAAUACGGAGGGUGCAAGCGUUAAUCGGAAUUACUGGG